AUUGAACGCUGGCGGCAGGCUUAACACAUGCAAGUCGAGCGGUAGCACAGGGGAGCUUGCUCCCUGGGUGACGAGCGGCGGACGGGUGAGUAAUGUCUGGGAAACUGCCUGAUGGAGGGGGAUAACUACUGGAAACGGUAGCUAAUACCGCAUAACGUCGCAAGACCAAAGAGGGGGACCUUCGGGCCUCUUGCCAUCAGAUGUCCCAGAUGGGAUUAGCUAGUAGGUGGGGUAAUGGCUCACCUAGGCGACGAUCCCUAGCUGGUCUGAGAGGAUGACCAGCCACACUGGAACUGAGACACGGUCCAGACUCCUACGGGAGGCAGCAGUGGGGAAUAUUGCACAAUGGGCGCAAGCCUGAUGCAGCCAUGCCGCGUGUGUGAAGAAGGCCUUCGGGUUGUAAAGCACUUUCAGCGAGGAGGAAGGUGGUGAGCUUAAUACGCUCAUCAGUUGACGUUACUCGCAGAAGAAGCACCGGCUAACUCCGUG
rnacentral:rRNA from 1 species